GCAAGUCGAGGGGCAGAAUAAUCUUCGGAUUGAUGGCGACCGGCGCACGGGUGCGUAAAGCGUAUGCAACCUACCCUUUACUGGGAGAUAGCCGGGGGAAACCGGGAUUAAUACCCCAUGGUAUCACAAGAUGGCAUCUGAAAGUGAUUAAAGAUUUAUUGGUAAAGGAUGGGCAUGCGUCUGAUUAGUUAGUUGGUAAGGUAACGGCUUACCAAGACGAUGAUCAGUAGGCGGUCUGAGAGGAUGAUC
rnacentral:rRNA from 1 species